rnacentral:rRNA from 1 species
UACGUAGGGUGCAAGCGUUAAUCGGAAUUACUGGGCGUAAAGCGUGCGCAGGCGGUUUUGUAAGUCUGUCGUGAAAGCCCCGGGCUCAACCUGGGAAUUGCGAUGGAGACUGCAAGGCUUGAAUCUGGAAGAGGGUCGCGGAAUUCCCGGUGUAGAGGUGAAAUUCGUAGAUAUCGGGAGGAACACCAGUGGCGAAGGCGGCGACCUGGGCCAAUAUUGACGCUGAGGUGCGAAAGCGUGGGGAGCAAACAGG